rnacentral:rRNA from 1 species
CCUACGGGGGGCAGCAGUGAGGAAUAUUGGUCAAUGGACGAGAGUCUGAACCAGCCAAGUAGCGUGAAGGAUGACUGCCCUAUGGGUUGUAAACUUCUUUUAUAUGGGAAUAAAACGUUCCACGUGUGGGAUUUUGUAUGUACCAUAUGAAUAAGGAUCGGCUAACUCCGUGCCAGCAGCCGCGGUAAUACGGAGGAUCCGAGCGUUAUCCGGAUUUAUUGGGUUUAAAGGGAGCGUAGGUGGAUUGUUAAGUCAGUUGUGAAAGUUUGCGGCUCAACCGUAAAUUUGCAGUUGAAACUGGCAGUCUUGAGUACAGUAGAGGUGGGCGGAAUUCGUGGUGUAGCGGUGAAAUGCUUAGAUAUCACGAAGAACUCCGAUUGCGAAGGCAGUUCACUGGACUGCAACUGACACUGAGGCUCGAAAGUGUGGGUAUCAAACAGGAUUAGAUACCCGAGUAGUC